CAGUCAAUCAUUAUAAUCAAUCUUGCACGAAGCUCCACUUCCCUUGUCUCCCUUUCUCUAUUUUAUCUAGUCACUCUUGGCCUGCACAUAUUCAACUUAAACAUGACUAGGAAAAAGAUACAAUCACAGCAUGUGGCAUUAUUUAAAGUCAUAACCAAGUACUUUAAAUGGGUCCUGAAUGCCACCCAGUAAUCACAGUAUAUUUCCUUAACCUAUUCAUUUUACACUUUCUUAGACACACAUCUUCUCCUGUCUCCUCAAACCUCUUCAGUGGUGUCCGACCCAUGGCCCAAGACAUAUGAAUGUGGCCAAACAUAAAAUCAUAAAUUUACUUAAAACAUUAUGAGAUUUUUUUGUGAUUAUGUGUUGCAAUGUAUUUAACGUGUGACCCAAGACAACUCUUCUUCUUCCAGUGUGGCCCUGAGAUGCCAAAAGGCUGGACACUCCUGCAGCUUGUUCCUAUUAUACAGAAUUUGUUAAUAGGUUAGAACCAGUCAACUUGUCAUUAAUACCACUGUUUCUGAGUAUUUAAAAAAACAAACACUUGAUUUCUAUGCUUUAAAAAAUACAAUUAAAAAGAAAACAAACAACUGGCAGCUAAAACACAAAGUAAAUAACAGCCAGCAAUGAAAAGGUACAGCCAAUUUCAAAAAAAUGUACUGUCUCAAGUGAUUAAGAGAAAGACUAGGUAACAUCUAAAAUAAUUAAAUUCUAAAAAACUUCCGGUUUUUGAGUGGAAGGAACUAACUUGAUAACAGCAACGUAUAAAGAAGCAGUCUGGAGGCAGUGGCUAAGACAAACUAGUGUGAAAUGAGACUGCAGGCAAGGAAAACACCUAAAGGCUAUCAAAGAUAAAAUUAUGAGCUCUUUUAAAAAGGCUAUAGGGAAAUGGCUAUGAUGAAAUAAAUCCCAGAGAUGAUACAGAGUAACAUCUAUGCUCUUGUUAGGAAUAAACAAACAGGUGUAAUAAAAUUUAACAAGCUACACUACAAUGCCAAUUUUACAAACAUUAAGAAUAUAAUCAGAACCCUGGCUGGGGGGCUCAGUUGAUUA